rnacentral:rRNA from 1 species
GACGAACGCUGGCGGCGUGCUUAACACAUGCAAGUCGAGCGGAGCGGCGAACGGGUGAGGAACGCGUGAGUAACUGCCCCCCUCCCUGGGAUAACAGUUGGAAACGGCUGCUAAUACCGGAUAGUGGGGGAUGACUCGCGUCCAAUCAGCUUGUUGGAGGGGUAGUGGCCUACCAAGGCGACGACGGGUAGCCGGCCUGAGAGGGCGACCGGCCGCAUGGGGCUGAGAUACGGCCCAGACUGCUACGGGAGGCAGCAGUGGCGAAUAUUUCACACUGGGGUAAACCCUGAUGCAGCAACGCCGCGUGCGGAAUGACGGGCUUCGGGUUGUAAACCGCUUGCAGCCAUGACGCGGUAGUGGCAGAAGAAGCACCGGCUAACUACGUGCCAGCAGCCGCGGUAAUAC